rnacentral:rRNA from 1 species
UACGGGGGGGGUAAGCGUUGUUCGGAAUUAUUGGGCGUAAAGAGCUCGUAGGCGGUUUGUCGCGUCUGCCGUGAAAGUCCGGGGCUCAACUCCGGAUCUGCGGUGGGUACGGGCAGACUAGAGUGAUGUAGGGGAGACUGGAAUUCCUGGUGUAGCGGUGAAAUGCGCAGAUAUCAGGAGGAACACCGGUGGCGAAGGCGGCAUCCUGGACCAACACUGACACUGAGGAGCGAAAGCCAGGGGAGCAAACGGG